UCUGUGUAGUUCACCAAGUUUGAUGGCGACAUCCACAUCUACGUCUAUAAUCUGGUGGAAAAGAUCCGUUAAGAUACCCAAGGGCCUUUGACAACCCCAGUAUCUUUUCCAGUUGAAUUUGUUUUGCUCUAAAAAUUAAAAUGUGCGAUGUGACGUGUUGUGUGUGAACACUUUGGUGGAGGAGACGGACUGUGGUGGAUGGAACAUGGAGAGGAAGCCGGAAAGGUCAAGGCUGUGAACAAACAGCCAAGACAUCACUACAGAAGGUGGAUGUGAGGUGGAGGCUUCCCCGGAGGACAUUUUGACGAGGAUAACUCAAGAGAAGUGAAUGCCAAACUAAGUUUAUAUCUAUCGAUUCCUAAAAGUAUCAUAAAGCCCAAUAUUUUGUACGAUCAGUAAAAAGUAAUUUAAAA
ensembl:lncRNA